rnacentral:rRNA from 1 species
CCUACGGGAGGCAGCAGUAGGGAAUCUUUCACAAUGGGCGAAAGCCUGAUGGAGCAACGCCGCGUGCAGGAUGAAGGCCUUCGGGUUGUAAACUGCUUUUAUAAGCGAGAAAUAUGAUGGUAACUUAUGAAUAAGGAUCGGCUAACUACGUGCCAGCAGCCGCGGUCAUACGUAGGAUCCGAGCAUUAUCCGGAGUGACUGGGUGUAAAGAGUUGCGUAGGUGGCAUAAUAAGUAGCUAGUGAAAUCUGGUGGCUCAACCAUUCAGACUAUUAGCGAAACUGUUAAUCUCGAGAACGUUAGGGGUAACUGGAAUUUGUAGUGUAGGAGUGAAAUCCGUAGAUAUUAGAAGGAACACCAAUAGCGUAGGCAGGUUACUGGGACGGUUCUGACACUAAGGCACGAAAGCGUAGGGAGCAAACGGGAUUAGAUACCCGGGUAGUC